UCCCGUCACGGGAUCACUGUGUUCAUUUCUGAGUAGCGUUCACACCGUGCACGUCGGCGCCCGCCAGCUCGUGAGUAACGGAAACGAUUGACCGGUCCUUAAUCGAGCGACAACUCAUCUCCGCUACAUACCGGAUUAUUUGCCGUCUAAAUAAUCUGGAUGUUGUAAACGCCUAAUUAUAAAAUUGGUCUACGACGUAUCGGUUCAGUUUCCUGUCGCGGUGUAAAAACAGUAAGUGAACGGAAACUUUUACUCCAAGUUUAAGUUGACUGUGUUCAAUUAAUGUUAUUCUGACGAUCGGUUUUCCCCUACUGUCUGCAGUUUUUUAGUUAAGCAGCAAUGGGUUCGUGCUCGCUGACUACCUGGAUUUCGCUAUUCGUUGUCGUCGUCGUUCCCUCGGCUGUCGUGUCCGGUGAGAUUUCGCUGUGAUGUUAAAAUAAGCUUCAUUAACCGAAAUCAAUGAAUCCCGUAAAAAUCUGUUCAUGUCUGCUCUGAAAACAUCGGUGUCUUGUGUUGGUUAAAAGUGGCCCAGAAAUCAAAUUUGUGCCGGUACGUCAAUACGGCGCUCUGGUAGCAGCGAUUUAUUAAAUGAUGCGUCAUUGCGGCCGCCAUAUUGUUUACAGGCAAAGGUAGUUAAUGAGGUUAGUACAUGAAUAAAAAUCGUCCUAAUUUGGUGAAUGAUAACCCAAACUCGUUACAAAUGGUGGUAGUGUAUGAUACAGAACAUGGUUGCACCUGUCUCUACCUGAAGCCCAUUUAUAAAAUAGAUUUUACUCAUUUCAACAAACAGUUCUUUCUCCUUUCUUUUGAAGUUAAUUUCUAUUCUCCGGUUGUUAAGUGAUUACGUGUGAACCCUGCUUUGGGGAAUACUCUGCGUUUAUUAAGGCUGUUGUGUUUUUAACAUGUUUUAAUGCUUUGGUAUCUUGUUCUGUUUAAUCUCAACAACCCCCUGUUUAAAAGGAAAAAAAAGUUAGUGAUCUUGUGAUCACUGUUGGCAUCUCUGUUUUUAUUACCACUAUUCAUCAGCAGCACGUUGUAAAGCUCAGUUUUUAAAACCUUGCCAUGUAUCUACGGCCCAGCCCACGCAGCAGUAAAUUAAUGACUAUCCUUGUAUUGUGGAUGGAUUAUCGUUUGAAGCUUCUGAAUGUCCUCCGACAAAGUCGAGUCACUCCCCAGUCAUCCCAAAUAGAGCAAGGACCCGAUUUACCUGCACACUAAAGUACACAAAGCACAACAUGUGGUCAUUUAUAUUGUUUAAAACUGAUGCUAUAAUUAGGUAUUUUGUAAUACAUUUUUAAUUCAUUUUAAGUUGUUCAUCCUACUUUAUUUUUUUGUAUUGAGUGGGUUUCUUUUCUUUUUUUAAACAGUGAUAUGGAGGGUAUUUUAAAGUUCAGACUGGUACAGUUACAAUAGAAAGGCAUCACUUAUUGGCAGCGGUCGCAUAGCUGCCCUAACUGUCAAAUACAUUCGACUCCUCAUCAAGUAGGUAGUGAUUGGUGAUUAAUUAGUGUGUGAGCUGUGUUCUACAUAUCCAAUGGCCUGGGGUGAGUAAAAGAAGUUUGGGUUAGUAAUGUGUUUACAGCUGACUCAUUCCCCUGUAAAGAAAUGGACACUCACUUUUGGGCCUUUUCACAUUAAAUUCCUAACAAAGAGUCUUCAUUAACCCCCCUUGUGGAUACUUUUUAAAGGUAAAGAAAGACGGGAGGCAGCGCUCACGAUGACCAGAAGGGACAGGAUUAGAAAUGAGUACAUCAUAGUGAAGGGGGACAUAUAGAGCACCUACUGUGGCGUGAAGAUAAUGAGGACAGGGCCAGGAAAUCAUCACAGCUAAAUCUGGACAGGACAACAUCACUCUGCCGUGUCAAGCUCCAAACAACAAAACCACCCAUGUAGAGUGGAGAAGAACUGACCUGUGGAAAGAAUAUGUCCUUUUGUACCGGGACGGUCACUUAUAUCCAGACAACCAGCAUCCAUCUUUUAAGAACCGGGUGGAUCUGCAGGACAGACAGAUGAAGGAUGGAGACGUGUCUUUGAUUCUGAACAAUGUGACGACUGCUGAUAGUGGAACAUACGAGUGUCGUGUCUUUAUGGAAGACACACGCUCAUGGAAAUCCAUCAGCAUCAUCUACCUGAGAGUUGAUCCUCCAGGUCAGACAGGAGGAGACACAGAGGAUGGAGGGAAGGAGGCAGGAGGGACGGAGGGCGAAGGGAAGGAGGCAGGAGGGAAGGAGAGUGAAGGGAAGAAUGCAGAAUUUGAUUUACUAACAGUUGGACUGCUAGUUGCUGCUGUGCUUUUUUUUGCUUUUGUCUUUUUUCUGAUUUACAGAAAAUAUAAAGCACAGCAGAAGCAGGUUUCAUACAAGCCUCCAAUUCAAAUUCAGCCAGUUUGAAAGACCUUAAAACUUUUCCCAGUUUAACUCACAUGUUGAUGCAGCAGCUGACCAACAGAUAAUCUCAAAUAACCAAACAAUCCAGAGUUUUCUGCAGCAGCAUCCUCUUCUGUGAACACUAUAAAACAACAGCAGCAGUACCAGACGUGUAUGUGUUCCUGUUUGAGUCAGCUUCAUGAAUCUCCUAAGGAACUGUUGAAUCUGCUCCGAGUUCAAAUAGAGUCUGGUUCACAUGUCACUACUAAUUAGUGAUGGCCAAAUGAAGCUUUCUGAAGCACUGAAGCUUGUAUUCAAAAACGGUUCAUUACUCGAAGCUUUUCAACACAGUCCUCUCCGGUGACAUCUGGUGGCGAAAAUUAUGAAGAGCAGCUUGAAUCUGCAAAAUAAAACGGACUGCUUAAUUAUCACUGCUCACUCCAGAGGGGAGUUCUCUCUGAUAUUGGGCCACCGUUGCGUUGCUUUGAACAUGUAAUUGGUUUUUUUUGUGUUUUUUUUCCUCGAUUGGGGGGCUGAAAAAUUUGUAAUGCUUAUUUGCUUAAUACAUUUUGAUCAAUAAACUUUCCUUAUGUAAACAUGCACCA